GCCUCGCGCUUCUUGUUCAUCUCUAUCUGCACGGAUGUGGCCCCGCCUGCCUCCUCCAGCCUUUCACUGAUCUCCUCCAGCUCCCGGGACAGGUCAGAGCGCAGCUUCUCCACCUUGGCCCGGGCUGUGCGCUCGGCCUCCAGCUCCUCCUCCAGCUCCUCGAUGCGUGCCUAGCCAGGGACACAGAGGGUCAGACCUGCUUCCUGCACCCCUCCAUUGAGGCCGGCCCUGGAGCUCUAAAAGAUCCCUGGUCUAUGAGAACAGCACGUCCAUGAUGCUCUCCUGCGUCAGCUUCAGGUCUCCCUCCAGCUUCCGCUUGGCUCGCUCUAGGUCCAUGCGCACCUUCUUCUCCUGCUCCAGGGAUCCCUCCAGCUGGCAGAGAGAAGGACCAGCCAUGAACCACAAGAUGCCAACUUUCCUGUUGCCCCAAAAUGGAUUCGGAUGAAUUUCCCCUGAAGAGAUGGAUGGGAGAGAGAAGCAAUGAGCCUGGGAAAGGCUCACAUUUGAGGCCAUCCUUCGAAAGCCAGCACAAGUCCCAAGUUCAAGGUGGAGUAUCACUCACAAAUCGAGAGGAGUUGUCAUUCCGAACUGUCUUGGCAUUGCCAAAGGCCUCCAGAGCAGGGUUGGCUUGGAUGAUUUGAUCUUCCAGGGUACCCUGGAAGAGGUCAAGAAGGAUGGGAUAUGAAGGCUGCCUACUCUUUUUCUGUAAUGCAAGCCUUUACAUGACAGCGGGCCUACCUUGCCUGGGGUCUGGUCCUUCUUGCUGCGGUCCCCAAUGGCGGCAAUAACAGCAAAAUAUUGGAUGACCCUCUUAGUGUUGACAGUCUUCCCAGCUCCGGAUUCUCCGCUGUUGUGACAAGCAAAGGCUUAAUAGGCAGUAAAGACACUGGUUAAGACCAACGAGCCUCAAGCGAGGGAGAGCACCUAGUCUAGUAGAGAGAAGGUGCUCAGAUCAGGAAGUUGUUAGGGACUGGGACAUAGGAUCAGGUUAACCAGCAGGAAGACGGUGCCACAGAGGACAAGGAGAGGAGAGGGCAGUUUGGGAAGAGUAAGUGGGGAGGAGAGAAAAGGUUUCUAAAGUGAAAGAUAAGGAAAAUGAAGAAAGGCGAUACAUGGGCUUUUCCAAAUGAGCUUAUACAUGAAUGAAGAGUCAGAGGGAAAUGGGUGAGGAGGCAAAAGGAGAAAACAAGAGAAAGAUGGAAAACAGAAAGGGAGAGAGGCACAAAGAAAAGAGUUGGAGCAAAGACC
rnacentral:lncRNA from 1 species